GUAGGUGGCAAGCGUUGUCCGGAUUUACUGGGGGGCGUAAAGGGGCGUGUAGGGCGGGCCCGUUAAGUCCGGGUGUGAAAUCUCCCGGCUCAACUGGGAGGGGUCAUCGGAUACUGGCGGACUUGAGGUGGGCAGAGGAAGGUGGAAUUCCCGGUGUAGCGGUGAGAUGCGUAGAUAUCGGGAGGAACACCAGUGGCGAAGGCGGCCUUCUGGGCCCACUCUGACGCUGAGGCGCGAAAGCGUGGGGAGCAAACCGGAUUAGAUACCCGGGUAGUCCACGCCCUAAACGUUGGACACUAGGUGUGGGGGGUGUCGACCCCCUCUGUGCCGUAGCUAACGCAUUAAGUGUCCCGCCUGGGGAGUACGGCCGCAAGGCUA
rnacentral:rRNA from 1 species